CUUAUAUAUUUCAAAUAGAAUAUUGCAUUGAAGCUGCAAUGGUGGUGGUUGCCUGUAAGUAU
rnacentral:tRNA from 1 species